AACGAACGCUGGCGGCAUGCCUAGCACAUGCAAGUCGAACGAGACCUUCGGGUCUAGUGGCGCACGGGUGCGUAACGCGUGGGAACCUGCCCUUAGGUUCGGAAUAACUCCCCGAAAGGGGUGCUAAUACCGGAUAAUGUCUUCGGACCAAAGAUUUAUCGCCUUUGGAUGGGCCCGCGUUGGAUUAGCUAGUUGGUAGUGUAAAAGCCUACCAAGGCGACGAUCCAUAGCUGGUCUGAGAGGAUGAUCAGCCACACUGGGACUGAGACACGGCCCAGACUCGUACGGGAGGCAGCAGUAGGGAAUAUUGGACAAUGGGCGAAAGCCUGAUACAGCAAUGCCGCGUGAGUGAUGAAGGCCUUAGGGUUGUAAAGCUCUUUUACCCGGGAUGAUAAUGACAGUACCGGGAGAAUAAGCUCCGGCUAACUCCGUG
rnacentral:rRNA from 1 species